GGGUUGUGAGGUUAAGCGACUAAGCGUACACGGUGGAUGCCCUGGCAGUCAGAGGCGAUGAAGGACGUGCUAAUCUGCGAUAAGCGCCGGUAAGGUGAUAUGAACCGUUAUAACCGGCGAUUUCCGAAUGGGGAAACCCAGUGUGAUUCGUCACACUAUCAUUAACUGAAUCCAUAGGUUAAUGAGGCGAACCGGGGGAACUGAAACAUCUAAGUACCCCGAGGAAAAGAAAUCAACCGAGAUUCCCCCAGUAGCGGCGAGCGAACGGGGAGGAGCCCAGAGCCUGAAUCAGCAUGUGUGUUAGUGGAAGCGUCUGGAAAGGCGCGCGAUACAGGGUGACAGCCCCGUACACAAAAGCGCAUGUGCUGUGAGCUCGAUGAGUAGGGCGGGACACGUGGUAUCCUGUCUGAAUAUGGGGGGACCAUCCUCCAAGGCUAAAUACUCCUGACUGACCGAUAGUGAACCAGUACCGUGAGGGAAAGGCGAAAAGAACCCCGGCGAGGGGAGUGAAAAAGAACCUGAAACCGUGUACGUACAAGCAGUGGGAGCACCCUUCGGGGUGUGACUGCGUACCUUUUGUAUAAUGGGUCAGCGACUUAUAUUCUGUAGCAAGGUUAACCGUAUAGGGGAGCCGGAGGGAAACCGAGUCUUAACCGGGCGUUAAGUUGCAGGGUAUAGACCCGAAACCCGGUGAUCUAGCCAUGGGCAGGUUGAAGGUUGGGUAACACUAACUGGAGGACCGAACCGACUAAUGUUGAAAAAUUAGCGGAUGACCUGUGGCUGGGGGUGAAAGGCCAAUCAAACCGGGAGAUAGCUGGUUCUCCCCGAAAGCUAUUUAGGUAGCGCCUCGUGAAUUCAUCUCCGGGGGUAGAGCACUGUUUCGGCUAGGGGGCCAUCCCGGCUUACCAACCCGAUGCAAACUGCGAAUACCGGAGAAUGUUAUCACGGGAGACACACGGCGGGUGCUAACGUCCGUCGUGAAGAGGGAAACAACCCAGACCGCCAGCUAAGGUCCCAAAGUCAUGGUUAAGUGGGAAACGAUGUGGGAAGGCCCAGACAGCCAGGAUGUUGGCUUAGAAGCAGCCAUCAUUUAAAGAAAGCGUAAUAGCUCACUGGUCGAGUCGGCCUGCGCGGAAGAUGUAACGGGGCUAAACCAUGCACCGAAGCUGCGGCAGCGAACGUAUCACCCAAGACAACUUUACGGAGUUGACGAUUGACGGAGCGAAGCGACGUCAAAGCGUUCAUUAAAGUCGAGUUGGCUUAGGGAUACGUUCGUUGGGUAGGGGAGCGUUCUGUAAGCCUGUGAAGGUGUGUCGUGAGGCAUGCUGGAGGUAUCAGAAGUGCGAAUGCUGACAUAAGUAACGAUAAAGCGGGUGAAAAGCCCGCUCGCCGGAAGACCAAGGGUUCCUGUCCAACGUUAAUCGGGGCAGGGUGAGUCGACCCCUAAGGCGAGGCCGAAAGGCGUAGUCGAUGGGAAACGGGUUAAUAUUCCCGUACUUGGUGUUACUGCGAAGGGGGGACGGAGAAGGCUAUGUUGGCCGGGCGACGGUUGUCCCGGUUUAAGCGUGUAGGUGUGUGUUCCAGGUAAAUCCGGUUCACUUUAACACUGAGGCGUGACGACGAGGCACUACGGUGCUGAAGCAACAAAUGCCCUGCUUCCAGGAAAAGCCUCUAAGCAUCAGGUAACAUCAAAUCGUACCCCAAACCGACACAGGUGGUCAGGUAGAGAAUACCAAGGCGCUUGAGAGAACUCGGGUGAAGGAACUAGGCAAAAUGGUGCCGUAACUUCGGGAGAAGGCACGCUGACACGUAGGUGAAGUGAUUUACUCAUGGAGCUGAAGUCAGUCGAAGAUACCAGCUGGCUGCAACUGUUUAUUAAAAACACAGCACUGUGCAAACACGAAAGUGGACGUAUACGGUGUGACGCCUGCCCGGUGCCGGAAGGUUAAUUGAUGGGGUCAGCGCAAGCGAAGCUCCUGAUCGAAGCCCCGGUAAACGGCGGCCGUAACUAUAACGGUCCUAAGGUAGCGAAAUUCCUUGUCGGGUAAGUUCCGACCUGCACGAAUGGCGUAAUGAUGGCCAGGCUGUCUCCACCCGAGACUCAGUGAAAUUGAACUCGCUGUGAAGAUGCAGUGUACCCGCGGCAAGACGGAAAGACCCCGUGAACCUUUACUAUAGCUUGACACUGAACAUUGAGCCUUGAUGUGUAGGAUAGGUGGGAGGCUUUGAAGUGUGGACGCCAGUCUGCAUGGAGCCGACCUUGAAAUACCACCCUUUA
rnacentral:rRNA from 1 species